AAAAGAGUAUGAAUAAGAACCUCGGAAAGGAUAAGAGAAUUCUUAUUUGAGAAAGAUGUGUUCCGAAAAUGACACACAAGAGUAUUUUAAUGUUUUUAUUAUAAGUCUGAAAGCAGCUUUUUCAUUGAGUAUUCUAGCCAGGCUUCGUUCGAUGCUACAAUUUGAUUUCUCAAGAAUAUUUUCCGAGCGAUCGUUGACGAUGAUUUGCUGGAUAAUUUUUUUGGACGAAUUUUCGUGUCUUCGCGCUUUCUCUCUCUCUCUCUCUCUCUCUCUCUCUCUCUCUUUCUUUUUGUCUUUUGCGCAAUUGAUGCUUCAAAUAACGCGUAAAUUCGGGAAUAGUAGGAAGACUAAACGUUUGCUGCGCACGAAUCGACUACCUUCUACGAUUUUCGAUUUUGCAUGAUAACUGACCGCAAACGAUCGAGCGACGAUGCGAUUUCUACAAGAGAUGCGUCAUUCGAAAAUCAAUUCGGUUGUCUCUUCUUUUUUUUUUUGCAAUGUCGUUGCACAAUUUUCAUCCGAGAAUUGACGUCAGCACACACGAGACACGUCUAUUCACGUCAUCAGUCGUCAAUGAUCGUUCCAACUUAAAAUUAUCGGCGCAGAAAUUGCUCUCUCGCGAACUCUUACUUAAUCCACCCCCGCGCUCGUUCUCUCCCUAUCGGGCCCCACAAAACUUUACAAGAGUCUUGUCGCCGCGCAAAGAGUGCCGUGCUAUCGCAGAAAUCGAACCUCAAGGGAUCGCCGGUCAGCAGAGUAAUUUUUUUAUGAAAGAGAAGAAAAAUGGGAGACGAGAGAAGGAGAAAGGGGCGGAGAGGGAGAGAAAAAUAAAUUCGAUCACGUUCGAUUUCUUCGAUGUACUUUCCGCGGCACUGCGAAACCAGGGGGUACUUUUUCAUCGGAGAAGUGACUGAGGAGGACAAUAAUUUACAAGGCCAAGGACUUGUGUUACAAGUGCAACGAACUGCCCAUAUAGAAAAAUGGACGAAGUGUUAUAGCAAAAAUCUCUUUCUCCCCCUUCUAUCAAUAUAUAUACUACCUAUCACGGCUUCUUCGAUCGUCGUUGCGAACACUGUCGUCGUCGUCGUCGUCGUCGUCGUCGUCGUCGUCGUCGCCGUCGUCUCGUAUCGAAUUUCUCCAUAUUUAAGGCUCUCGAGAUUGCGCGCGACGAUUGUAACAUGCUACUUAGCGUGUCGCGGCUAUAUCGUACAUAUAAUAACACAAUGGUAAUACGCCUAAAUUAUACUGUUUCAAAGUUUAUUUUAAUUCACCAUCGCAUGAUGAAACGAACAUUUUAUGAUUUAAGUCGCCGCUUUCGUUAAUCCUGAUUAAAAUAUACAAAUUUACGCGGAAAAGUAGAUAGACAUCGCUGAUAAAUGGGCUCGCGAUUGAGAAAUUUGAUACGUUUCGUCCUGAUGAAGCUCUUUCGUUUGAAUCUGCAAUCUAAUCGUGACAAUAAUAUAGGAAAUAAUAUAAAUUCGUUUUCUCGAUUAUUGAUAGUCAAAGACAGUAAAGCUUUCGCAGCAACUUCCGAAUUUGUACGUGCCGUGUUGUUAACUCGUUGUGACGAGUCGUGAAAAUUGACUUGCUUCUUGAAACUUUGUUUCGAGCUAGUAAGCAUACAUAAGGUCAGGGACGACGACUCGUGUUACGACAUUGUCGUUCGAAUGGCGAUUGUUCAUAUUAUUGCGAAGUAGCUGAUAUAAAAAAUCGUAAUAUCGUAUCUAUUGCGUUUAUAUUCUCUUGACUUUACGUCCAAUGACGAUCUGCCCAGUGAAGGUUGCACAAUAUGAAUCACGAGAUGCUAGAAGAAUAGAAUUAUUUUUAAAUAUCUUUAGAUAUCGUUAAGUAUAUUUAUAUAUUUUACUUUAGGUACUAUAUUCUUUUUUGUAUUUCUAUCACGAUCAAAUUAUUGUGAAUGAAAAGAACGAGCUCAGAAUUUCCGCGAGGGUUUCCACGAUAAGCGAAAAUUAUUACGGCGUAGCGCAGUGACAGUGAAAUUAAGACGAUUUGGUCGAACGGGGCAGAUCGUGAACGGAGAGAAACUUUUCAUUGUACAACCGUAUGCGCUCAUUGUUAUGUACAUGCUCAUUUUUGCUCCUUCCUCGCGAUUUUUUUCUUUGUUUUUUUUUUACAAAACUGUGCACAAUAUUUAACGAGCAAAGACCCUUCGUCCAAUUUCAUAUCUUUCUUGAGAUAUAUAGAUUGCUUAUACUGUAUAUACUUAUUUAUCGAAAGCUGCGAUAUCACAUAUGGCCUCAUGAAGAGUUUAACAAGUGGUUUAUAGUUAGCCUUGAAGAGCACAACUUGAAGUUCCCACUUCGAAUUUAAGUGUCAGUAGCUUUGUCGAUGUUGCGACUUGACAAUGUCCGCUUCGAUAUUUCGAAAGCAAUCGUAUCACAUGUACUUUAUUUCCUCAAUUAAGAAUCUUUAUUUCCUGAAUUAAUUAUCUGCAUUUAAUCGCCAAAUGGUUCCGUUUUCGUCUUAUUUAUGUUAUAGAUUUGUUUGUGGUCUUCAUGGUUAACAGGAAUCAUCAUCUUCUCUGAUCUCGAAGGUGAUAUUGCUUCGUUAAAUUCUGGCACGCGUUAAUAUCACUGAUUAUUUAGCAAACUUUCAUUCGUAAUCGAAGUUUCACACGCGUUUUCUCCCUUCUCGCGCCGCCGCAUCUUCUUAUCGUUGUUCCUGUGUGAAUUAUCUGCUACUUGCAGUUCGUUGGAUCGCGAACAUAUGAUGUUGCCGUAUCUCGCACUGAUAGCAGUUGCGGAAUAUUCCGGAUAAUAUUCCGGUGUUGCGAUCGGCGAGCAGCCGAAUUUUUACUAAGCGAUGAGGCGCGAAAUUGCCAUGUCGGGAUCGUAUCGCGUGUGUUUCCGUGCUGUGGAAAUUUUCCGCUCUUUUCCGCCGUGAUAAGAAAAGGCAGUAACUAAUUGACAAACUGGAUCCUCAUUUUUAUCAGAUUUUUCCACCGCAGUAUAACACAGUUUGCAAGUACAGCUGUUGCCCGUUUUUUUCUGCAUUCCUUCAGAGUUAACGACAUGGAUUGGGAAAUCAACAUUGCAAAGUUUAUCUUAUCGCUAAAUUUUUUUACAAAGAACUACAAACGUUUUACAAAAAAUCGAGUUUGGCAAGAAAAAAUUUUACCGCCUAUUUCAUUAUCACGGCAUUUAGCCAUCAUUAAUUUAGGCUGUUUUUUUAACUGUUACGAUAAACUUGUCUUUCUGAAUAUUAAAUUUUAAUUUAAACAUCUCGCAAAUUCUGAUUUUAAACAAAGCAAUAGUAUUGCAAUUUUAUAUUACAUAGAGUUUCUCUUCUGGUUAUUUAGUUUGUUCGAUAUGGUCGAAUUAGAUUCGAUUAUAUAAAUUUUGUCAAUAUGUUGAAAGAUAUUAUUGAAACGCCACGGAUGACGAUCCCGAUCAUAUUGUGAACUGCGUUCGCACAAACGUUGCAUUCUCAUUUUCGACAAAAUUGCAUUGAAAUUACAGAAAUCGAGCACUUUAGCCUAUAACGGCCCGCGCGAUAUGAUUAGUGCAUGAAAAAUCUCAGCGUUUCAACAUGAUCGACGCGCGAUAGACGUGCGGCUUAGUCGCUACAGUUUCAACAGUGUUAAACCUUUUCUUUGCGUAUAAGUAUAUAAACUACGAUAGAGCCAGCUAUAUCGUUUCUGUCUCUAAAAUCUAUUUAACAAAGUCCUCGUAACUGCUCAAUAAUUCAUCUUUCAUAACAUGAAAUUAUAUAUCUCUAUUUACUCUUUGUCUCUUAUUAUAUAUAUUUAUAUAUGUACACGCGCAUAUGUGUAUGUAACGUGUGUGUAUGUACGUAUGUACGUUUGCAUCUAUACUUUCGAUUUGAUCAAAUGAUUUCGGUGAUGAGAAUCGCGCUUUUGCUCAUUAUGUGGUCAUUGAAACUAAAAAUUAAUCUCUUAUUACUAUAUAAUUAUUAUCCAGAUAGUCAACAUUGCUAACAUUUUUCUUACUGGGUAUGUAAGAAUUUUCUACUGUUGUACUAUUGUAAAAAAUUAAAUAAAUAAAUUUAAUUUUGA